AGCUUUGCACAGUGGCUGUAUCGCAGUAUAUGAGGUUUGGCCCGAGGCGCGAUUAUUGCUAGUUGAAUACUUUUCCCAAACUAGUUAUACUGCCAUAGAAAUCUGUAAAAUACUCUGUGGCAAAGCGCUGUGAAGAGCGUU
ensembl:snRNA U4 U4 spliceosomal RNA